UAGGUUAACGAGGCGAACCGGGGGAACUGAAACAUCUAAGUACCCCGAGGAAAAGAAAUCAACCGAGAUUCCCCCAGUAGCGGCGAGCGAACGGGGAGCAGCCCAGAGUCUGAAUCAGCUUGUGUGUUAGUGGAACGGUCUGGAAAGUCCGACGGUACAGGGUGAUAGUCCCGUACACCAAAAUGCACAGGCUGUGAACUCGAAGAGUAGGGCGGGACACGUGGUAUCCUGUCUGAAUAUGGGGGGACCAUCCUCCAAGGCUAAAUACUCCUGACUGACCGAUAGUGAACCAGUACCGUGAGGGAAAGGCGAAAAGAACCCCGGCGAGGGGAGUGAAAAAGAACCUGAAACCGUGUACGUACAAGCAGUGGGAGCACCUUCGGGUGUGACUGCGUACCUUUUGUAUAAUGGGUCAGCGACUUAUAUUCUGUAGCAAGGUUAACCGUAUAGGGGAGCCGCAGGGAAACCGAGUCUUAACUGGGCGUUAAGUUGCAGGGUAUAGACCCGAAACCCGGUGAUCUAGCCAUGGGCAGGUUGAAGGUUGGGUAACACUAACUGGAGGACCGAACCGACUAAUGUUGAAAAAUUAGCGGAUGACUUGUGGCUGGGGGUGAAAGGCCAAUCAAACCGGGAGAUAGCUGGUUCUCCCCGAAAGCUAU
rnacentral:rRNA from 1 species